GCAUUGGUGGUUCAGUGGUUAAAAUUCUUGCCUUCCAUCCAGGAGACCCAGGUUAGAUUCCUGGCCAAUGUA
rnacentral:tRNA from 1 species